ACGAGCGCUGGCGGCAUGCCUAACACAUGCCAGUCGAACGAGACCUUCGGGUCUAGUGGCGCACGGGUGCGUAACGCGUGGGAACCUGCCCUUAGGUUCGGAAUAACUCCCCGAAAGGGGUGCUAAUACCGGAUAAUGUCUUCGGACCAAAGAUUUAUCGCCUUUGGAUGGGCCCGCGUUGGAUUAGCUAGUUGGUAGGGUAAAAGCCUACCAAGGCGACGAUCCAUAGCUGGUCUGAGAGGAUGAUCAGCCACACUGGGACUGAGACACGGCCCAGACUCCUACGGGAGGCAGCAGUGGGGAAUAUUGGACAAUGGGCGAAAGCCUGAUCCAGCAAUGCCGCGUGAGUGAUGAAGGCCUUAGGGUUGUAAAGCUCUUUUACCCGGGAUGAUAAUGACAGUACCGGGAGAAUAAGCUCCGGCUAACUCCGUG
rnacentral:rRNA from 1 species